UGACUCGAGCCGAGCGCCGGGGGGGCGGGGUGCAGCGGCGCCGCGGGAGGAGCUGGGCGCGGAGCGCGGCCCCUUCCCUGCGGGCGCGCGGCCAGGUUACAGCCACGCUCAGGAGCCUCUUGGGAAAAGCCCAAAAGUCCCCAUUUUGCAGAAAGCCUGCUGGGAUGUGGUGGGACCCCGCGGCGAGAGAAACCCCGGGAGGCCUCGAAAGCCCUGGCUUCCAGGGCCCCACCCUGCCUGGGCAAGGCCUCCCGCGCUCCGGGGCCCGCACUUCCGGCCCCCGCGGGUUCCCUGACCUGCGCUACCGGGCACUUCCGCCGCCAGACACGUGGCCCCGGGGCCUGGAGGAGGCUGCUGGAAGGCCCGGCUCUAGCAGUUGGGGCCUUCACCUGUCCCCGUUAUUUCGUCGCAAGCCCCUGUGGGAAGUGGUGCCGAGGAGGGCCAGAGGGCCUUCACCAGUUUCUGUACUUAGGAGGCAUGGCCUGCAACAAAUGUCGAAAGAAUUACUGAGUGAAUCUGCUGCCUCUUUGGGCAUAUGGUGUGGGAAUUACAUUGAAAUGAUAAAAUCAACAGUGAUCCUUGAAAGGAGCAAGAGCCACAGUACUCCUGAAUGGAUCAUCAGUCACUUUGAAGGGAAGUGA
rnacentral:lncRNA from 1 species